UCACCGCCCCGCACAAACCCUACCCUUUCCAGCGCUCCCAAAUUGAUGCAGCCGCCUCCCCUCUCCCUCCCUUCCUUCCCAAACGCGCCGGCCGCCUCCUCUCCACCUGCCGCCUCCCCUCUCCCUCCCUUCCUCCCCAAACGCGCCGGCCGCCUCCUCUCCACCUGCCAUACCGCGUCCCUGCUGGCGGUGGGAGGAUAUCCGGGGGAGCAGAGGAGGGGGUUGGAUGAGGGGUUAGGAGGUGCGAGGCGAGCAGGAGGUGGGGUUGCCGGAGGAGCACAGCCGCCAGAGCAGAGCAGAGGAGUUCGAUGCAGGGGCACAAUGGGAUUGUCGGAGAGCGCGCGGUAUCCUGCGAUACAUAUCCGCUCCCAAGCAAAGGAUGCAUCAGCGCUCGCUCCUCCUCUCCCCGACGCCACCGCUUUCCUGCGUCGUUGCUGCCGCCACGGCCUUGCUUGCCAUCGACCUCCCGGAGUGCUUCUCUCCACUGCAUUCCCCUUUGCACGAGUUCUUGCCUUCAAAGCUAAGAUGAAAUGGCUCUUCUCAUAUUUGCCUAUAAACUGUUUGAUGAAAUGCUUGUGUCGUAACGAGUUCUUUUUCUUCAGUUUGUUCUUCCUGCUGCUAAGUAUUAGUCCUCUUAUUGAUCUUGCCUGAUUUUCUCGUCGGUCUUGCAUUUGAAGCUCAGGGGUUGUGACUCUAUGAGGAUGUUGUUUAGUGUGAACUGCAACUUUUUUUGGUUGGUGGAGUUCCUCGAGCAUUGCUUAACUUGAAUGAUAAACUACUGAGCAAGUUGGCCUGAGAGCAGCGAGGUUACAGCUCCAGAUGGUUCUUGGUUGCAAUGGGGGGAGAUGCAGGGGAGGGUGAGGAGGCUAACGACAGGGUGAAGUAGCCCGGCGACGAGUGCAAGCAGCAUGAGGCAUUGUAUGGGAUUGAUCUAUCAUGCUGGGAUUAGUUGUAGACUUCCUUGCUGAACCAUACAGGGAGCAAUGCAUCCCCAGUUUGCUUCCAGAGAAGGAAGGGGAAGAGGGUUUUCUUGUUGCUGCUAUUCCUCGUGGAUAUUCAAGAGGCAACUUGGCACCUAAUGUCAGCAACGUGCUUAUCGGUGACGAGGGAAAUGAAAGAAGGCUGCAAUGGAAUUUGUACUAGAUCAGAUUUUGGCCAUGUAGUUUCCGGUGACUGGAAGUCUAAAACUGAGGAUAGGACAGAUUGUUUUGAUUCCGAUUACUUGGAGAUCUUGUGGCUUGCUGUCCCUGGAUCAGUCAGACCUACGGCAGCAUCAACUCGUUGAUCCUAGAGGCCAUGGUUCUCGAGGUGAGUUGAGUUGCUACUUGGUUGGAGAUGUUGAUGUCGUUCGAGACGCCCGCUGGAUUCACCCUUUUCAAGGUUCUGAAUAAGGGCAAGCUCGACAAGGUCGAGUGGUACAGGUAUGAUCUUCAUGGAGCUAGCCAUCAUUGGAUUUGGUAAUACAUAAUCACUUAUUCAGAGAGCCCAAGGUGAGAAGGGAAGAGCAUCUAGAACACCACCACCUACUAAUCAGUGAGCUACUAUCUGUCUUUGAAUGAGUUACUUAACAAGAGAAGGCAGGAGUUUCCUACCUUUCUUCUGCAAAUCUGGAAUGCCUUUAUGGCAUGAUCAUGUGAAAAAGUACCUUGAUGCAGUAAUGGAUUUGAUUAUCACUGGUUACUCUGUUUUCACGAAUUACUAUCCAACCUCGCUUGAAUCUGUCCAGACCUGAAAAAUACUUAUACUUUGAAAGCUUGAUAUAUGAGUAUGUAAUUUUACAGAGCAUGGAAGAACCAAAAGGUAGUUGAUCAGCAGGAUGGCAAGAGGAAGACAAGAACCAAAUUAAAGUUUGUUGAUGUGCAUGUCUGUAUCUAUCAAGAUUCAGUGCUAUGUAGAAAUGUCCCUGAGAUUUGUUUCACUCAACGAGACCAAACAAUCUGGAACACAAGUAGGAUAGUUGAUGCUUUUUUCAUUUUUCUUCUGAUAAAAAGGAAUCUUCAUCUGCCAAGAAUACCGCCUACAAGCAUGUAUGCCUAAUUACCUAUAUGCUGAUUUAACAAGCUCACAUACAUGUCCAUUUUUGAAAAUAGUUUACCAUCCUCAAACAUAUAACUUGUGUGUUGUUGCUUUCCAUUAUAUUGAGAAAAACAUAAGUUUCAUUGGACCUUUUA